rnacentral:lncRNA from 1 species
UCAAAUCAGGGACCAAACCAUCUCGACGAUUAGGUCAACUCUUAACCUAAUCGGGUCAAACCCAACUGAAUCUAAUUUAAUUGGACUUGAUCCAAAAAUAAUUACUCAAUCAAAUUGAGUUAAUUAGUGAUCAAAUCACUAAUAAAACCUCUCAUAAAUACUUUAUGCAAAUCCGAUGGGCAAUCGGACAUUAAAAUUCAUCGAUAUGUAACCCUGAUCGAAAAGUCCCAACCAGUGGGACUCUUGACCCCGGUAUCCAUAAUGUGUGGAACUCAUGAUCAGAGAAUCUUGAUUCUCGAUCACUGAGUCUCAAACAUGUAGGAUUCUACACCAGCCA